UCAAAUAAUGCAGUCUGAAGUGCAUUAUAUAUUCAUUGCUGAGCAGUGUAAUCAAGGAUUUCCAUAAGAACACGGAGGCAUUUCUUUACCUUCUCUGGGAGCUGUGUUUCUGGCUUUUCUCUGUGGCUCCUGAAGUGUUAACUCUGUCCUGACAAGUACUCCAACAGGUAUAUCAGCUGUUUGAAUUUAAAAACCAUCUAAAGACACAUCUCUUCAGGCAGGCCUAUCCAGACAGUUUUUAACUCUGAAUCUUAAACUCGUGUACUUUGUUUGAUGUCUGUUUUGUGUAUUUUAAUAUGUAUUUUAUAGAAAAGCAGUUUUAAUAUGGAUAUUCUAUAGAAAUAUGUAUAUUUGUUGAAUUUUUGCAAUGUUCAUGUUCUUUAAUUGUGUUGUAACCCGCCUCGAGCUGCAGGGAGCAAUAGGCUGUAUGGCUAUGUUCCAGAACUAUUAUCUCCUGAUGUUUCACCCACAUCUAGGGCAGGCAUCCUCAGAAUUGUGAGAUAUAUUGAGAAUCAUCUCUGUCCAAAACAAUUCUCAAGGAAGUGGACUUUGACCAGAUAUGAAAGUAGGAAAGUGUGUUUUGGAGAUUUCUUUUCCUAGUAGCCUCAGAUGCCUUGGCCAAUGAUCAGGAAUUCUGGAGACUGAAGUCCAAACACCUGGAAGACUACAGUUUGGGAAACAGUGUUUUAAUGGGUUAAUUUGUAGUAGUUUCUAUAGACAUACUUUUGAUACUCUUUCAUCUUUCUUGUUGUUAUUGUGUGCCUUUAUGUUGCUUCCAGCUUAUGGCAAUCUUAAAGUAAAUUUAUCACGAGGUUUUCUUGCAAGAUUGGUUCUGAGAACAUUGGCCAAUUUUUCCUCUGACGUGUAACCACUUUGGUAGUGGAACUCAACAGGAUUGCAGCCCUUGACCUUCAGUUUUUAGUUGUGAAGGAAAAAAUGGUACUGAGUGAAUACUCCAAAGCCAUAAAUUUACAAAACAUUCUUGUAUUUUCUGAGUAUUCCGUACUAUAAUACAAAAAAAAAUGAAAGCUGUGAUUUUUUUCUUUCUUUUUUUUUACAGAAAAGCUGUUUACUUGGAAGGUGUUAACUUUAUAGAAACGUAAAUGGUUGAAUACUCUGACUGGAGAUAUUACUUCUGUCUAUCAUAGAUGCGACUUGUCCAAUGGAAUUUCUUAUCUGUCACACAAAUCCAAGCUGAAGCUUAUCCCAAAUACACCAGUUAUCUAACUCACUGUUAAAGGGUGAAUUAUUACACUGGGAAUGAUUCAAGUAGAUUGCAGGGAUUUAAUGCUAAACAUGAAGAAAGAUGCAUCGCAAGGAGUAUCGCAAGCCACAAAAAAGUCAAGAGUUUAAUACAAUCUUUUUAGAAAGCAAUUUUUCCUGUAAUUGUAUAAUGCCACUAGGCCUGUUACAAGAUGUAGUGGAUUUCUGAAGUUUAACUGACACAAUGAACAUGGAAGAUAACAUGCAGUACAACAAACCUCAGUAUACAUAAUGUAAAAUUUAAUCUGUUCAGAUUUUUAGGGAUGACUUUCGGAAUGUUGAUGCUUUUUUUUAAAGAGAAAUAUUAUUACACACAAAUAACAGAUAUUAUUUCAGAAGCUGUAUUUUUAUUGUCAUAUAAAUGACACAAAUUGAUUACAAUUAAUGGUGAUGGUGCGAUGGUGCAUACAAUCUGGCCCCAAAGUUGAGGCAAAUACAAGUCUACAGGAUCAAAAUUUGAGACUUGCCCUAAAAAACCUGUGGGAUAGAGGAUUUAUUUUCCUGGUCACCUUAGAGGAUCAAGAGCUUAUUUUCAACUUGUGUGGCCCUCCAAAGACACUAAACUCCACAAUAAAAAAUAUUAAAAAAUUAAUUAUAAAAAUGGGAAAUGGCUGGAUGCCCACUUCUGAUUGUGUUUUACAUCUUGGAUCUUUGGGGUGUUGCCCUCUGAUCCCAUAGAUGACAAAACCACAGGAUGGUUUUAUUCACCCCUUUUUGGUUGGAAAUCAUGGGGCUAUAAAGGAGUUCAGAGUGGUCCACAAAAAUGACUGUAUGGCUCUACCCUUUAGAGUCUAUGUUUGAGAAGACAGAAAUUUACUUAGCAAUACUUAGGCUUAUUGAUUUUAUUUAUUGAUUUUGACUGAAACCAAUAAACAACAUGAGCCCACAUUUCAAGAUGACCUUAGUUUUACCAGCAACUGUAUCCUAAAGAAAAAUAAUAAUGGCUGAAUGGUUAUUUCAUGACAUUGAAUAUUAACGUGUACAUCAUACCAGGAUGUCUUUGAAACAGACAAUAUCUGAAACAGGUAGCCUAUGUAUGUAUGAAGAUGGGGAUAGUACAGCUAGGGUGGAGUCAUGUCUCUUCAUGUGUGGUAAAGUCAAUGCGCUUAAAAGCCAUGCAAAAGAAAUGUGCAAUAAGAAGAGGGGUUAGGCAGAUAUAUUCUUGUUUCAGCCAAAAUGGGCUAAGAAGAACCUAUUUUAGGAAUCUCAUGAGAUAAUGUCCUGAAACACAAUUCAAUGGAUUUAAAUUAUGAGAAAAGAGAUGCCAUCUAAAUAUUAGAAAGAACAUUUUAACUAUGAGAGCUGUCCAACAGUGUAAUAGAUGGCAUCAGAGGUGAUGAACUCUCCAUCUUUAGAGGUCUUUCAACAGAUAUUGCAUGGAUGUGUUACAAUAGUUCUUUAAUUGUCAAUUUGUGCAUGUAAGGUCCAUUCAGUCUGUUCCAACUCUAAGAUUCUAUCACCCCUUUCUUAAUAUUAAUAUUACUUCUCCACACUUUAUUGGAGAAAAGAAUUAUAUGUCAUGUGUAUUACAUUUCCAUGUGCAGCAUCAUUUCCAGGUGCAGCAUACUGUAAGUGCUUGGUUUCUGGGGGAAACUAUGAUAAGACUUCAUAAUUCAAAGUCCAGUAUUUUAAUUUGACUUGCUUGGAAAAUCAUCAUCCAUAAGGCUGUUUAAGUUUGUGUUGCUAAACUAAUCUGCAAGAAGGAAAUCCCAUUGCACUUACUGAGCGAAUAUCAAAAUUCAAGUGCUUAUUAAUUUGAAAACUAGACUAAUAAAAGAAUGCAAGUACAGAAGUGUGCCUGAGGCUGACAAAACAACAUGCCCUAUGAAAACACUGAUACCAAAUCUUGUAUUAAAGCAAAUAAAUAAUAAAAUAUAUAUUAAGGAAUCUAAGUUUAAAUGAACUGUCAAGAAUGUGGAGAUUUUCUUUUUGCAGAUAUCUGCAGAAAUUGUUAGAAAACAAAGCAGAAUAUGACAACUUUAUUAGUUGAUAGCAUUACCCUUGUAUUGUCAAUCUUAUUUCUAACAUCACUUAGAGGAAAAUCUUCUGCAAUUGAUCAGCUAAUGGGGACAGAGGUUGCAAUUAUGAGCUGUCAUCGCAAGUCUUAAAAACUGUUGGCUUUGAGAACUGAUUUGAUUAGGACAAUGAUUGAAGUAACGUUUUGGCUUGGUGCAAUUAUUGGAAUAAAAUGAUUUUGAGGUUAAGAUUGUUCCUAGAGAUUUGGCUGCCUGAGGCAAAUGAUAAAACUGGCCUCACUUGAUUGCAUGUGCAAAUGGUAAACAUUGCCCAAAUUCCAUGCACCCAGUAAUAACUUGCUCACAUUCCAUGGCAGCUAUUUACACCAAUGGUGCUUAUCUAAUGGAAUAUACUGUAGCAUAUCCUUGCACCCUCCAUGAGAAAUGGUUCAUGCCAACACAUUGCUUUGUUUAUUUGGAUAAUUACUCUAUAAUAUCACAAUCUGUUGUCAUAUAGAGAAAAUGCACAUUACUGUGUUUCUGAUGCAGACUUUGUUAUGUCCAUGUGGUUUGUAAUUGAGUUUUUGUUUCUUAAUGUUCAAAAAAACAUAAAAUAUCUUCAUUGAAAAGUGUUUUAUAAACUUGUAUCCCUUUCAACCCAUUGCUCCAGACAUUGCCCUUCCUGUUUCAGCUCCCUGAAGCCUUUUGUAUACCAAGGAGCCUGAGUAAUAACAAGUCAGCGAGAACAUUUGGUAGCAAUGGUGUCAUUUUUCAUUUCACCUUGACAGAAUUAUCAGUGAUGCCAGCCAUAAAGCCUCUUAAAGUUUUUUGGAAUCAUGAAGGAUUCAUUAGCCUUUGAGGGAGGACUAUCUUAAUCAAGUGGACCACUUCAGAAUAAAACAGCCAGCUCCCUGCUGUCACACCUUGGUGCAAUGAGGAAAAGCAAAAGGAGUGGAGCGGGCUGGCUCCAUCAAUCUGAAGCAUCUCACUCAUCUGAACUAAAUAACUCCAUCAUAAAAACUGUUUUCCUGAGUUUAAGGUAGGAUCCCACUAUAGAUGAAAUACUCUGUUCUUGUAAUUGUAUAUAACACCUGACAGAGAGUUAAUCUGAAUUUCAUUCACAUGAUAUACUCUUUGCAAUGUGUUUUCUCAAGGUCAGAAAAGUAGUCUCAGAAUAAUGCACCUGAUAAAAUCCAUUCUCAGCAUGUUUUGAGAAUGCAGGCUAAUUGGCAAAAUCAUUUAUGACUCUUCAGUCAAGUUAUUAAUGGAAGCCACACUCGGAUGAUUUGCCAUAUGGUUGAUCUUUAUGGUUCCUUUCAUGUUCAAAAAGUUUCUUUAAGAGCUGUCAAACUACCGCUGUGUCUAAGAGCAUUGAAAGCCAGGGCAAAAAUGGAACAUCAACUCUAGAAUUUAAAAAUGUCCCUAAGCUCCUUUUUCCCACUUGUUGUUGUUGACAAGACAGAAUAACAACAACAACAACAACAACAACAACAACAACAAAACUUUAUUUAUACCCCGCCACCAUCUCCCUGUGGGGACUUGGAGCAGCUCACAAUGUUACAAAAGUAACAGUGCAAAUACAUUAACAAUAUACACAGUUUAAAACAAUGGUACUAAAUAUGGAAAGGUAGAUUGCCAGACAUAUCUGUGCACAUUUUCAGGUUCUUGUUCACAUUAUUAUUGGAAUAUCCAACUAUUAGCUUGCAUCCUGCUGUUAGUCCAAAUGAGAGUACACCCACUGCAUCAUUAAAAUUUACCUAAGUGUUGACUCACUAUUCAACCAUUGAUUUACACUACAAAUCAACUAAUUAGAGGCUAAUUGAGAUUCUACAAUGAGUCUUUAUUACACUCCCUUCCCAAACUCAUAUUUACCCUAUUUAUGUUUCCUCUUUAAAUUCCUGAAAAAAUAUGCUGUCAGCCAAGAGUUUAGGAGCUAGCUGAGGCAUUUAAAAUAAAUAAUAUUAUGCUUAUUGUUACUAUAUUCAAGUAGUUUCCAUAUAUGGGAAACAUCUACAUUUAGAAUGAAUGCCACUUGAAACCACUUUAAUCACUAUGACUCUAUUGUAUUGAAUCCUGGGAUCUGUAGUCUGUAGAGAUUGCAAUUGUAAAACUGUGUUGUAUCCUAGCCACAGGCUGGCCACUUUCAAGGUGAUGAUACUGAAGGGGACUUUGGUUUUCAAGAUGGAACCGAAGAGGAUUCUGGUUUUGGGAUUUUUCAGCAGUCUGAGGCAUCGGUCGGAGACAUGCAGUUUCACUUUGAGCAGGAUGACCUGCUGGCCCCAAAAGAGUCAGAUAACGGUCAGGCUGACAUUCUUCCCUUGAGAAUUUAUGAGGAGGAAUCUGGAGUUUUGAGAAAUAAUGAGGAGGAAACUGGAGGCUUGAGAAAUAAUGAAGGAGACGGGGCAACUGAAGACCAGGUGCAAGAUAACAGUAGCCUUGAGUUGUCCAGGCAAGAUCGUUUGUCAUGGAGAGGUUCUGAGCUUCGCAGGAGUGACCGUUUGGCACGCAAAAGGGAGCUUCCGAAGGAAUCAAGCUGUGGAAAGAGAAACGCCUUCCUGGGUUGUUAUUAAAGGAAGGGCUUACAGACCAUGCCUUUGUCAGAGCAAUUCAUCGCUUCAUCUAUGUGGGUGUUUUCCUUGCCAGCGUUUUGGAUUCUUGGGCCUUGUUCCGUGCCUUCUAUGGACUAUACUUUGCCUUUGGGAUCACUUUGGAUUCUUGGACCCUGUUCUUUGCAUCUUAUGGAUUAAUAUCUUGCUUGGUGGAUUAACCUAUAUUCCUGGACCUUGUGUUUUGGAUUCUAUGGAUUAAGACCUUGUGCUUUGAUCUUCAUGGACUAACUCUGUGCUUUAUGGAUUAUUGUUAUUACUAUGCUCUUUGAACCUAUGGACCUUACCUUUUUGGAUUGAUGGACAUUAAUGUACUUUUGAAUCUCUUUUACCUUUGGACUCUUCCUUUACAACAUUGAAUUACCUUCUUAUUGCUUGCUUGACUUAUAUACUGCUUUAUUUAAAUAAAAACACUAAAAGACUAUUUGUGUGUUGACUCGGUAUCUUAGCAAGGUGAACUAGCCUGAGGUGCGACAAACUGCUAUGUCCAUUAUUCCAUAGCAUUGAGCUAUGAAAGUUAAAGUGGUGUCAAACUGCCUCAAUUCUACAGUGUAGAUGCACCCAUGGUGACCCUAGGAUUAACGUAUCAUUGGAUUUUCUUGGGAAGGUUUGUUCAGAGGGGGUUUACCUUUGCCAUCAUCUGAGGCUGAGAGACUAUGACUUGCGCAGCAUCACUCAGUUAGUUUCCAGGACUUUGUGGGGAUUUGAACUCUCCAGAGUUGUACUGCACCAUGUUGACUGUCUGAUGUUAUGCAUCUAUUCUACACAUAUAUAAAUCUGGAAUUUGGAAUUCUAAUUUCAAUUCACAUGGCUACAUAAAGAUCUCAGCAACAAUAAAAUAAGCAGCAUAUGCUACAGAUUGAGAUGUCUGUGGGAAAUGUUUUGAUCAGCAUCUCUUCCCUUCCCCUAUACGUAACCCUUUUUUUUCCAUGGUUCCUGCUGAUGCUUCCACAAGAAGUCCAUAAAAUAAAUUUGUAAUAGUUACUAGUUUAGGAGCCAGUGCAAAUAUUUCAAAUUUACUUAAGAUUUCAACAAUGUAUUUGAAAAACCUAAAAGACAUUUCAAGGCAAUUAGCUUGUAUGUAAGGAGCCCCGGUGGCGAAGUGUGUUAAAGCACUGACCUGCUGAACUUGUAGACUGAAAGGUCCCAGGUUCAAAUCCCGGGAGCGGAGUGAGUGCCCGCUGUUAGCUCCAGCUUCUGCCAACCUAGCAGUUCAAAAACAUGCCAAUGUGAGUAGAUCAAUAGCGGGCAGGUAAUGGCGUUCCAUGCAGUCAUGCUGGCCACAUGACCUUGGAGGUGUCUACGGACAAUGCUGGCUCUUUGGCUUAGAAAUGGAGAUGAGCACUAACACCCAGAGUCGGACACGACUGGACUUAACGUCAGGGGAAACCUUUACCUUUACUUAGCUUGUAUGUAAUAAUAUCUUAAAUACACAUCAAACUAUAUUUUCCAAAAUUGAUAUGUAUUGACAUCAGAUAUAGGAUGUUUCUGAGACAAGAUAUUUAGUUAUAUAUUUUUCUGAGAUAGUAUGAGACAUAUUUCUCUGCACCUACUCCACUUUUUGAACUUUGCUUUUAAAAAUGUAACACACACAAAUA